rnacentral:rRNA from 1 species
GACGAACGCUGGCGGCGUGCUUAACACAUGCAAGUCGAACGGUGAAGCGCCUUCCUUUUUGGUGGGUGUGGAUGAGUGGCGAACGGGUGAGUAACACGUGAGUAACCUGCCCCCUUCUUCUGGAUAACCGCAUGAAAGUGUGGCUAAUACGGGAUAUUCUGGGUCUGUCGCAUGAUGGGUCUGGGAAAGAUAUUGUUUCGGUGGGGGAUGGGCUCGCGGCCUAUCAGCUUGUUGGUGGGGUGAUGGUCUACCAAGGCGGUGACGGGUAGCCGGCCUGAGAGGGUGGACGGUCACACUGGGACUGAGACACGGCCCAGACUCCUACGGGAGGCAGCAGUGGGGAAUAUUGCACAAUGGGCGCAAGCCUGAUGCAGCGACGCCGCGUGAGGGAUGGAGGCCUUCGGGUUGUGAACCUCUUUCGCCAGUGAAGCAGGCCUGCCUCGUUUGUGGGUGGGUUGACGGUAGCUGGAGAAGAAGCGCCGGCUAACUACGUG